rnacentral:rRNA from 1 species
GACGAACGCUGGCGGCGUGCUUAACACAUGCAAGUCGAACGGAAAGGCCCUGCGUUUGUGGGGUGCUCGAGUGGCGAACGGGUGAGUAACACGUGAGUAACCUGCCCUUGACUUUGGGAUAGCUUCAGGAAACUGGGGCUAAUACCGGAUAGGAGCUCCUGCGGCAUGGUGGGGGUUGGAAAGUUUCGGCGGUGGGGGAUGGACUCGCGGCUUAUCAGCUUGUUGGUGGGGUAGUGGCUUACCAAGGCUUUGACGGGUAGCCGGCCUGAGAGGGUGACCGGCCACAUUGGGACUGAGAUACGGCCCAGACUCCUACGGGAGGCAGCAGUGGGGAAUAUUGCACAAUGGGCGGAAGCCUGAUGCAGCAACGCCGCGUGCGGGAUGACGGCCUUCGGGUUGUAAACCGCUUUCGCCUGUGACGAAGCGUGAGUGACGGUAAUGGGUAAAGAAGCACCGGCUAACUACGUG